UACGUAGGGGGGCAAGCGUUGUCCGGAUUUAUUGGGCGUAAAGAGCGUGUAGGCGGUCAGGUAGGUCCGUUGUGAAAACUCGAGGCUCAACCUCGAGACGCCGAUGGAAACCAUCUGACUAGAGUCCGGAAGAGGAGAGUGGAAUUCCUGGUGUAGCGGUGAAAUGCGCAGAUAUCAGGAAGAACACCCGUGGCUAAGGCGGCUCUCUAGUACGGUACUGACGCUGAGACGCGAAAGCGUGGGGAGCGAACAGG
rnacentral:rRNA from 1 species